GUGGCUUAAUUUGACUCAACGCGGGAAAUCUUACCGGGUCCGGACACACUGAGGAUUGACAGGCAAUAUCUAAAUCGUUUAUAAUUCUAUAUUAUAAUACGUAUUUAGUGUUAAAUAUGCUAGUCCUUUCAUGAUUAUGUGAUAGGUGGUGCAUGGCCGUUCUUAGUUCGUGGAGUGAUCUGUCUGCUUAAUUGCGUUUCACUAAGGGCCCAUAAAUUCAAGGUAUGUUAGCUAUCGUUUCUCAAUUGACCCCUUGUCUUCGAUAAGCGCGUGUCUUUUAGAGUUUAAACAUUGCGCAUGCUGUUGGGUCCUGAAAGCAACGAACGUGACCGCAACGUCUUAUUGCCUUUAUCUUGCUAUAUUUUAAUUUAAUUAAAAAUAGCUAACAGAGGCUAAUUUAAAAUUAGACGGACCGCUGUACUUUUCUUAAACCAGAGGAAGGUUGCGGCAAUAACAGGUCUG
rnacentral:rRNA from 1 species